GACGAACGCUGGCGGCGUGCCUAACACAUGCAAGUCGAACGGAAAGGCCCUGCUUUUGUGGGGUGCUCGAGUGGCGAACGGGUGAGUAACACGUGAGUAACCUGCCCUUGACUUUGGGAUAACUUCAGGAAACUGGGGCUAAUACCGGAUAGGAGCUCCUGCUGCAUGGUGGGGGUUGGAAAGUUUCGGCGGUUGGGGAUGGACUCGCGGCUUAUCAGCUUGUUGGUGGGGUAGUGGCUUACCAAGGCUUUGACGGGUAGCCGGCCUGAGAGGGUGACCGGCCACAUUGGGACUGAGAUACGGCCCAGACUCCUACGGGAGGCAGCAGUGGGGAAUAUUGCACAAUGGGCGGAAGCCUGAUGCAGCAACGCCGCGUGCGGGAUGACGGCCUUCGGGUUGUAAACCGCUUUCGCCUGUGACGAAGCGUGAGUGACGGUAAUGGGUAAAGAAGCACCGGCUAACUACGUGCCAGCAGCCGCGGUGAUACGUAGGGUGCGAGCGUUGUCCGGAUUUAUUGGGCGUAAAGGGCUCGUAGGUGGUUGAUCGCGUCGGAAGUGUAAUCUUGGGGCUUAACCCUGAGCGUGCUUUCGAUACGGGUUGACUUGAGGAAGGUAGGGGAGAAUGGAAUUCCUGGUGGAGCGGUGGAAUGCGCAGAUAUCAGGAGGAACACCAGUGGCGAAGGCGGUUCUCUGGGCCUUUCCUGACGCUGAGGAGCGAAAGCGUGGGGAGCGAACAGGCUUAGAUACCCUGGUAGUCCACGCUGUAAACGGUGGGUACUAGGUGUGGGGUCCAUUCCACGGGUUCCGUGCCGUAGCUAACGCUUUAAGUACCCCGCCUGGGGAGUACGGCCGCAAGGCUAAAACUCAAAGGAAUUGACGGGGCCCCGCACAAGCGGCGGAGCAUGCGGAUUAAUUCGAUGCAACGCGUAGAACCUUACCUGGGUUUGACAUGGAUCGGGAGCGCUCAGAGAUGGGUGUGCCUCUUUUGGGGUCGGUUCACAGGUGGUGCAUGGCUGUCGUCAGCUCGUGUCGUGAGAUGUUGGGUUAAGUCCCGCAACGAGCGCAACCCUUGUUCACUGUUGCCAGCACGUUAUGGUGGGGACUCAGUGGAGACCGCCGGGGUCAACUCGGAGGAAGGUGGGGAUGACGUCAAGUCAUCAUGCCCCUUAUGUCCAGGGCUUCACGCAUGCUACAAUGGCUGGUACAGAGAGUGGCGAGCCUGUGAGGGUGAGCGAAUCUCGGAAAGCCGGUCUCAGUUCGGAUUGGGGUCUGCAACUCGACCUCAUGAAGUCGGAGUCGCUAGUAAUCGCAGAUCAGCAACGCUGCGGUGAAUACGUUCCCGGG
rnacentral:rRNA from 1 species